rnacentral:rRNA from 1 species
UACGUAGGGUGCAAGCGUUGUCCGGAAUUAUUGGGCGUAAAGAGCUCGUAGGCGGCCUGUUGCGUCGGCUGUGAAAACCCGGGGCUCAACCCCGGGCCUGCAGUCGAUACGGGCAGGCUAGAGUCCGGUAGGGGAGACUGGAAUUCCUGGUGUAGCGGUGAAAUGCGCAGAUAUCAGGAAGAACACCUAUGGCGAAGGCAGCUCUCUGGGACGGUACUGACGCUGAGACGCGAAAGCGUGGGGAGCGAACAGG